UGCCCGGGUGGCGGAAUGGCAGACGCGCUAGCUUGAGGUGCUAGUGUCCUAUUAACGGACGUGGGGGUUCAAGUCCCCCCUCGGGCACAAU
rnacentral:tRNA from 1 species